CUCCUGACCCACAACUAGGUCCUCCAGCCCCAUAGCGAGGUCCUCCAGCCCCAUAGCGAGGUCCUCCAGAGCAACAGUGAGGUCCUCCAGCCCCAUAACGAGGUCCUCCAGCCCCACACCGAAGUCCUCCAGCCCCCCAACUCAGUCCUCCAGCCCCACAGCGAGGUCCUCCUGACCCACAGCGAGGUCCUCCAGCCCCACAGCGAGGUCCUCCAGUGAACAGUGAGGUCCUCCAGCCCCACAACUUGGUCCUCCAGCCCCACAACUCGGUCCUCCCACCCCAUAGCGAGGUCCUCCUGACCCACAACUCAGUCCUCCAGCCCCAUAGAGAGGUCCUCCAGCCCCACAGCGAGGUCCUCCUGCCCCACAACUCGGUCCUCCAGUGAACAGUGAGGUCCUCCAGCCCCACAACUUGGUCCUCCAGCCCCACAACUAGGUCCUCCUGCCCCACAGCAAGGUCCUCCAGCCCCGUAGCGAGGUCCUCCUGCCCCACAAGUAGGUCCUCCAGCCCUAUAGCGAGGUGCUCCUGCCCCACAACUCGGUCCUCCUGCCCCAUAGCGAGGUCCUCCAGCCCCACAAGUCGGUCCUCCAGCACCACAAGUCGGUCCUCC
ensembl:lncRNA